CAGGUGUUGAGAAUAGGCUGAAGGCUCCUGGAAGAGGAAGUGAGAACGUAGCGAACGUAGCUAGCGCAUCUGGCGCGGAGCGGGCGAGGAAAGGUGAGGGCAUCGGCCGGAAGUGACGCCCUGCCCGCUCAGGGCGGAAGUUCCCCGCCCCAGCUGUAAGAAUUGGGGUUUGGCUAGAGGCGAGCGAGGAUCCCGGCCGGGCUCCAGUUGUCCACGGCUCCUCCUCCUGUCGCGGCCGGCGUGCUUCCCGGGACUCAGGAAGAUUAGCCCUGAGCUAACUUCUGCCAAGCCUCCUCUUUUUGCUGAGGAAGGCUGGCCCUGAGCUAACAUCCAUGCCCAUCUUCCUUUACCUUAUAUGUUGGAUGCCUACCACAGCAUGGCGUGCCAAGCAGUGCCAUGUCCGCACCUGGGAUCUGAAGCAGCG
rnacentral:lncRNA from 1 species